rnacentral:rRNA from 1 species
UACAGAGGUCCCAAGCGUUGUUCGGAUUCAUUGGGCGUAAAGGGUGCGUAGGUGGCGCCGUAAGUGGGGUGUGAAAUUUCGGAGCUUAACUCCGAAACUGCAUUCCAUACUGCGGUGCUUGAGGACUGGAGAGGAGACUGGAAUUUACGGUGUAGCAGUGAAAUGCGUAGAGAUCAUGAGGAAGACCAGUGGCGAAGGCGGGUCUCUGGACAGUUCCUGACACUGAGACACGAAGGCCAGGGGAGCAAACGGG